UACAGAGGUCCCAAGCGUUACUGAGAAUCACUGGGUUUAAAGGGUGCGUAGGUGGUCCGUUAAGUUUGUUGUGAAAUCCCCGGGCUCAACCCGGGAAUUGCUUCGAAUACUGGCGGACUUGAGUCCUGUAGGGGUCACUGGAACAGACGGUGGAGCGGUGAAAUGCGUAGAUAUCGUCUGGAACGCUGUGGUGAAGACGGGUGACUGGGCAGGUUCUGACACUGAGGCACGAAAGCGUGGGGAGCGAACGGG
rnacentral:rRNA from 1 species